CCUCCGUCGAAGGGCGGUAUGGAGCCUCGGUUGCCUGUGUUGGGUGAUGGGGUGCUCAUUGGUCGGAGACACUGGCUAGUCAGUUUUGGCAGCGGUUUGAUGCUCUUGUACACGCUCUCUGUUUUCGGGGGGUGGUUGGAAGGGGUUGAUGAUGCGGCUGGGGUUGGCGUUGGACACCCUGUUGGGUCCUGAAGGAAUGACCGUGUGGUUGUUUCUUGGGCCGUUGUUCCUGUGAUGUCACCGGUUGGUGGUGUUGCGGGGGUGGUGGUUUGCCUGG
rnacentral:misc_RNA from 1 species